rnacentral:rRNA from 1 species
UACAGAGGAGCCAAGCGUUGUCCGGAUUGACUGGGCGUAGAGCGCACGCAGGCGGACGCGCGCGUGGGGUGUGAAAUCUGGCCGCUUAACGGCCAGGCGCCAUCCCAUACGGCGCGUCUGGAGCAAUGCAGAGGUCGGUGGAAUUGCCGGUGUAGUGGUGAAAUGCGUAGAGAUCGGCAGGAACACCCAGGGGGAAACCAGCCGACUGGGCAUUUGCUGACGCUGAGGUGCGAGAGCGUGGGGAGCGAACCGG